rnacentral:rRNA from 1 species
ACGAACGCUGGCGGCAGGCCUAACACAUGCAAGUCGAACGCGUGUAGCAAUACACGAGUGGCGCACGGGUGAGUAACACGUGGGAACCAACCCAGAGGUUCGGAAUAACCGCGGGAAACUGCGGCUAAAUACCGGAUGUCCCCCAUGGGGGAAAGAUUUAUCGCCUCUGGACGGGCCCGCGUACCGAUUAGCUAGUUGGUGAGGUAAUGGCUC